CCUACGGGAGGCAGCAGUAGGGAAUCUUCGGCAAUGGGGGGAACCCUGACCGAGCAACGCCGCGUGAACGAAGAAGUAUUUCGGUAUGUAAAGUUCUUUUAUUGGAGAAGAAAGAGAAAUUUGACGGUAACCAAUGAAUAAGCUCCGGCUAACUACGUGCCAGCAGCCGCGGUAAUACGUAGGGAGCGAGCGUUAUCCGGAUUUAUUGGGUUUAAAGGGUGCGUAGGCGGAUUUUUAAGUCAGCGGUAAAAUGUCCGGGCUCAACCCGGGCCGGCCGUUGAAACUGGGGAUCUUGAGUGGGCGAGAAGUAUGCGGAAUGCGUGGUGUAGCGGUGAAAUGCAUAGAUAUCACGCAGAACUCCGAUUGCGAAGGCAGCAUACCGGCGCCCGACUGACGCUGAGGCACGAAAGCGUGGGGAUCGAACAGGAUUAGAUACCCGAGUAGUC
rnacentral:rRNA from 1 species